rnacentral:rRNA from 1 species
AGAGUUUGAUCAUGGCUCAGGAUGAACGCUAGCGGCAGGCCUAACACAUGCAAGUCGAGGGGUAGAGGAAGCUUGCUUCCUUGAGACCGGCGCACGGGUGCGUAACGCGUAUGCAAUCUACCUUGUACAGAGGGAUAGCCCAGAGAAAUUUGGAUUAAUACCUCAUAGUGUUAUCGAAUCGCAUGGUUUGAUAACUAAAGUUCCAACGGUACAAGAUGAGCAUGCGUCCCAUUAGCUAGUUGGUGUGGUAACGGCAUACCAAGGCAAUGAUGGGUAGGGGUCCUGAGAGGGAGAUCCCCCACACUGGUACUGAGACACGGACCAGACUCCUACGGGAGGCAGCAGUGAGGAAUAUUGGACAAUGGGCGCAAGCCUGAUCCAGCCAUGCCGCGUGCAGGAUGACGGUCCUAUGGAUUGUAAACUGCUUUUAUACAGGAAGAAACCCUACCACGUGUGGUAGAUUGACGGUACUGUAGGAAUAAGGAUCGGCUAACUCCGUGCCAGCAGCCGCGGUAAUACGGAGGAUCCAAGCGUUAUCCGGAAUCAUUGGGUUUAAAGGGUCCGUAGGCGGUUUAAUAAGUCAGUGGUGAAAGCCCAUCGCUUAACGAUGGAACGGCCAUUGAUACUGUUAGACUUGAAUUAUUAGGAAGUAACUAGAAUAUGUAGUGUAGCGGUGAAAUGCUUAGAUAUUACAUGGAAUACCAAUUGCGAAGGCAGGUUACUACUAAUAUAUUGACGCUGAUGGACGAAAGCGUGGGGAGCGAACAGGAUUAGAUACCCUGGUAGUCCACGCCGUAAACGAUGGAUACUAGCUGUUGGGCGCAAGCUCAGUGGCUAAGCGAAAGUGAUAAGUAUCCCACCUGGGGAGUACGUUCGCAAGAAUGAAACUCAAGGAAUUGACGG